GAUGUUACAUGAAUAAAAAAGUUAGGGGUCCACCACACAUGCCCAACCAUUUCACCAAGUUGGCUAAUGAACUGAUGGUUUCAGCAACACACCACCUCAUACUUAUGAUCUUGAUUGUUGCCUUCUUUCUGGAACAUACGCAUUAGCAGUGAAUUCUUUGCCAACAUCUACCCAUAUAUCUUUCUUGCAGAUGAUUGUGCGACAGCCUAUCUUGUGGAUGCGUAUGUCUCCAGAGGAAAGUCUGAGUUGUUAGAUGGAAAAGUCAUGAUUACAUCAUCAGGAAGGUCAGACGCCAUUGCAAGGGCUCAGCCUUUUCUCUCUGGUAAAAUAUGUUCUUGGUACUCUAACAUGGUUGUAUUAGGACAUCGUUUAAUGAACCAUUAUUUUUCAUUUAAGAUAUCAAUAUAUCAACUGUUAUUGUGAUUUGUGUGUGGCAAUGUGUGACAAGCUUUACAUUUUUGAGAGUGAAGUUGGUGCUGGAAGUAAAAUUAACAUGGUCAAUGAUCUGCUGAGGGCAUUCAUCUUGUUGCUUCUCUGGAGGCUAUCUCUCUUGGUGUCAAAGCUGGUAUCCAUCCCUGGAUUGUCUAUGAUAUCAUUUCUAAUGCAGCAGGGAAUUCAUGGUGAGUGCUUCUAUUCUCAAUUUAAUAUUUUCUUUGAUAAAUGUUUUUAUGUUCUGAAAUUUAAGAUUCCAGAUUAGAGGCAAGCCUAAGAAUGAGAUGCUGUAAAUUCUUGGGUUUUUAAUUCUGCAGCUAUAUCAUGGGGAGCUGGAAACAUGUCUAUGACAGUUGAGAAUUGUUAACCAUCAGGA